UCUGAGUCAUGACGGAAGCAAAAUGUCGCAGGUUAUACACACAUCUCACACACAGACCGUAUCGAUGGUAAACUGGAAUGUGUUUUCUUCAGAUCAGGUGAAGCUGUCUGGUGGUACAGAGACACUCAAAGGCUUUGCUGGAAUUAAACAAGGAAGAAGCUGUUCUUGUGCUCACUGGACUUUGGAAGGAAUUGGACACCUCAUGUCUGAGGUCUACAGCUCACACUCAAUACAGCCAUAGAGGAUCAUCAUGACACGCUUGCCCUGACCCAAAAGAACAGGGUGAAGACUCUUUCAGGGACACUAACUUACUUAAAGGUAAUCUGUGCUCCAUCUCCUUCCAUGGACUAAAAUGAGUGAGAACCACAGUUUCAGAGAUGCCACGUAAUCCCAGGUUAUUUACCUCACUGUGCUUUCCAGAGAGCAGAGGAUUACAGUAUCUUUCCACUCAACUCCUGUAGCAAAGAUGAAAUCAA